UACAGAGGGGGGCAAGCGUUUGUUCGGAAUUACUGGGCGUAAAGGGCGCGUAGGCGGCCUUCUAAGUCGAACGUGAAAUCCCUGGGCUCAACCCAGGAACUGCGUCCGAUACUGAAAGGCUUGAAUCCGGGAGAGGGAUGCGGAAUUCCAGGUGUAGCGGUGAAAUGCGUAGAUAUCUGGAGGAACACCGGUGGCGAAGGCGGCAUCCUGGACCGGUAUUGACGCUGAGGCGCGAAAGCCAGGGGGAGCAAACGGG
rnacentral:rRNA from 1 species